rnacentral:misc_RNA from 1 species
CCACCCUUAAAACCCAAAGGACUUGACGGUGCCCCAUAUCCCCCUAGAGGAGCCUGUCCUAUAAUCGAUGAUCCACGUUAAACCUCACCACUUCUUGCCUACCCGCCUGUAUACCUCCGUCGUCAGCUCACCGCAUGAGCGAUUUAUAGUGAGCAAAAAGGCCAUUCGCCAAAACGUCAGGUCAAGGUGCAGCACAUGAAGUGGGAAGAGAUGGGCUACAUUUUCUAACUCUAGAAAAAACGAAAGACCUAGUGAAACCCUGUCAGAAGGCGGAUUUAGCAGUAAAGAAAGACCAAAAUGCUCUCUUUAACACGGCCCAGGGGCAUGUACACACCGCCCGUCGCCCUCUUCGAUAAUACAAUUUAGUAAAUAACUAACCUAAACUUCUAAGAAGAGGUAAGUCGUAACAUGGUAAGUAUACCGGAAGGUGUGCUUGGAACCGAAAUGUAGUUUAACUAAAACAACUUGCUUACACCAAGUUAAUGUUCGUGAAACCCGCGCCGUUUCGAGCCUAAACUUUAGCCCCCACCCCAUUUAUUUUAAUCAUAUAACAUUGUUAACUCACCUAAAACAUUUUCACAAUUUAGUAGAGGCGAUCAAAAAAUUUUCAGGAGCUAUAAAAUUAGUACCGCAAGGGAAUAAUGAAAUAGAAAUGAAAUAAUACUAAAGCACAUAAAAGUAGAGCUUAUCCCUCG